CCUACGGGAGGCAGCAGUGGGGAAUUUUGGACAAUGGGCGCAAGCCUGAUCCAGCAAUGCCGCGUGAGUGAAGAAGGCCUUCGGGUUGUAAAGCUCUUUUGUCAGGGAAGAAACGGUCUACUCUAAUACAGUGGGCUAAUGACGGUACCUGAAGAAUAAGCACCGGCUAACUACGUGCCAGCAGCCGCGGUAAUACGUAGGGUGCAAGCGUUAAUCGGAAUUACUGGGCGUAAAGCGUGCGCAGGCGGUUAUAUAAGUCAGAUGUGAAAUCCCCGGGCUCAACCUGGGAACUGCAUUUGAGACUGUAUGGCUAGAGUGUGUCAGAGGGGGGUAGAAUUCCACGUGUAGCAGUGAAAUGCGUAGAUAUGUGGAGGAAUACCGAUGGCGAAGGCAGCCCCCUGGGAUAACACUGACGCUCAUGCACGAAAGCGUGGGGAGCAAACAGGAUUAGAUACCCUGGUAGUCCACGCCCUAAACGAUGUCUACUAGUUGUCGGGACUUAAUUGUCUUGGUAACGCAGCUAACGCGUGAAGUAGACCGCCUGGGGAGUACGGUCGCAAGAUUAAAACGCAAAUGAAUUGACGGCUGAGACGNGCGAGACGACGACGAGGGAGGAGG
rnacentral:rRNA from 1 species